rnacentral:tRNA from 1 species
GCCAAUGUAGCUUAAGCCAAAGCAUGGCACUGAAGAUGCCAAGAUGAUCUGUAAAAAGUUCCAAUGGCA